rnacentral:rRNA from 1 species
UACCCGCAGCCCAAGUGGUGAUCGUUAUUAUUGAGCCUAAAGCGUCCGUAGCCGGUCUAGUAAAUCCUUGGGUAAAUCGGACAGCUCAACUGUUCGAAUUCCGAGAAGACUGCUAGACUUGGGACCGGGAGAGGCCAGAGGUACUCCGAGGGUAGGGGUGAAAUCCUGUAAUCCCCGGGGGACCACCAGUGGCGAAGGCGUCUGGCUAGAACGGAUCCGACGGUAAGUGACGAAGCCCUGGGGCGCAAACGGGAUUAGAUACCCCGGUAGUCCAGGGUGUAAACGCUGCAGGCUUGGUGUCGGGGGCCCUACGAGGGCACUCGGUGCCGGAGAGAAGUUGUUAAGCCUGCCGCUUGGGGAGUACGCUCGCAAGAGUGAAACUUAAAUGAAUUGACGG